rnacentral:rRNA from 1 species
CGGAGUAACAACCGUAUCCCACCUGCCGUCUACUCUUGGACAGCCUUCUGAAAGGAAGGAAUUAAUACAAGAUGGCAUCAUGAGUCCGCAUGUUCACAUGAUUAAGGUAUUCCGGUGACGAUGGGGAUGCGUUCCAUUAGAUAGUAGGCGGGGUAACGGCCCACCUAGUCUUCGAUGGAUAGGGGUUCUGAGAGGAAGGUCCCCCACAUUGGAACUGAGACACGGUCCAA